rnacentral:rRNA from 1 species
AUUGAACGCUGGCGGCAGGCUUAACACAUGCAAGUCGAGCGGGGUGAUGGUGCUUGCACUAUCACUUAGCGGCGGACGGGUGAGUAAUGUAUAGAUAACCUGCCCUUAAGAAAGGAAUAACAGUUGGAAACGACUGCUAAUGCCCUAUAUGCCUUUAAUACAUAAGUAUGCAAGGGAAACGCUUUAGUGCUUAAGGAUGGGUCUGUAUGGUAUCAGCUUGUUGGUGAUGUAAUGGCUCACCAAGGCUAUGACGCCUAACUGGUUUGAGAGGAUGAUCAGUCACACUGGAACUGAGACACGGUCCAGACCCCUACGGGAGGCAGCAGUGGGGAAUAUUGCACAAUGGACGAAAGGCUGAUGCAGCAACGCCGCGUGGAGGAUGACACAUUUCGGUGCGUAAACUCCUUUGAUAUAGGAAGAUAAUGACGGUACUAUAUGAAUAAGCACCGGCUAACUCCGUGCCAGCCGCCGCGGUAA